UACGUAGGGUGCGAGCGUUAAUCGGAAUUACUGGGCGUAAAGCGCACGUAGGCGGAUCUUUAAGUCAGGGGUGAAAUCCUGGAGCUCAACUCCAGAACUGCCUCUGAUACUGGGGAUCUUGAGUCCGGAAGAGGUAAGUGGAACUGCGAGUGUAGAGGUGAAAUUCGUAGAUAUUCGCAAGAACACCAGUGGCGAAGGCGGCUCACUGGCCCGAUACUGACGCUGAGGCACGAAAGCGUGGGGAGCAAACAGG
rnacentral:rRNA from 1 species